CCUACGGGUGGCAGCAGUGAGGAAUAUUGGUCAAUGGCCGAGAGGCUGAACCAGCCAAGUCGCGUGAGGGAAGAAUGUCCUAUGGAUUGUAAACCUCUUUUGUCAGGGAGCAAAGUCACCCACGUGUGGGUGUUGGAGAGUACCUUAAGAAUAAGCAUCGGCUAACUCCGUGCCAGCAGCCGCGGUAAUACGGAGGAUGCGAGCGUUAUCCGGAUUUAUUGGGUUUAAAGGGUGCGUAGGCGGGUUAUCAAGUCAGCGGUAAAAUCGGGGAGCUCAACUCCAUACAGCCGUUGAAACUGAUGAUCGUGAGUGGGCGAGAGGUAUGCGGAAUGCGUGGUGUAGCGGUGAAAUGCAUAGAUAUCACGCAGAACUCCGAUUGCGAAGGCAGCAUACCGGCGCCCGACUGACGCUGAAGCACGAAAGCGUGGGUAGCGAACAGGAUUAGAUACCCCGGUAGUC
rnacentral:rRNA from 1 species